CAAAACAUGGCUUCACGGAUUUAAUUUAUGUGAAGUCGUACCUGCCCAGUGAAGUUUUAACGGCCGCGGUACUCUGACCGUGCAAAGGUAGCAUAAUAAUUUGCCUUAUAAUUGAAGGCUGGAAUGAAUGGUUUGUCAAGGAUAAAACUGUCUCUAUGAAAUUUUAUAGAAUUUUAUUUUUAGGUGAAAAAGCCUAAAUUUUAUUAAAAGACAAGAAGACCCUAUCGAGCUUUAAAGAACUUAAUAAAUAUUUACGACUAAUCUGAAGUUAAGUUAUUAAAAAUUUUGGUUGGGGCAACCUAGGAGCAAACAAAGCCUCCUUUUUUAAAAAGACUAUUUUGUUAGGAUCCAAAAGUUUUGAUCAAAAGAAAUAGUUACCGUAGGGAUAACAGCAUUAUUUUUUUUAAGAGCUCUUAUCGAAAAAAAAGUUUGUGACCUCGAUGUUGGACCAGAAUAUCCUGAAGAUGUAGAAGUCUUCAAGGGUUGGUCUGUUCGACCAUUAAAAUUCUACGUGAUC
rnacentral:rRNA from 1 species